rnacentral:rRNA from 1 species
AUUGAACGCUGGCGGCAGCCUUACACAUGCAAGUCGAACGGUAACAGGUCUUCGGAUGCUGACGAGUGGCGAACGGGUGAGUAAUACAUCGGAACGUGCCCGAUCGUGGGGGAUAACGGAGCGAAAGCUUUGCUAAUACCGCAUACGAUCUACGGAUGAAAGCAGGGGACCGCAAGGCCUUGCGCGAACGGAGCGGCCGAUGGCAGAUUAGGUAGUUGGUGGGAUAAAAGCUUACCAAGCCGACGAUCUGUAGCUGGUCUGAGAGGACGACCAGCCACACUGGGACUGAGACACGGCCCAGACUCCUACGGGAGGCAGCAGUGGGGAAUUUUGGACAAUGGGCGCAAGCCUGAUCCAGCAAUGCCGCGUGCAGGAUGAAGGCCUUCGGGUUGUAAACUGCUUUUGUACGGAACGAAAAGGCUCUGGUUAAUACCUGGGGCUCAUGACGGUACCGUAAGAAUAAGCACCGGUUAACUACGUGCCAGCCGCCGCAGUAAAAC